UCUCAAAAUAAAUAAAUAAAAUCAAUAAACUUUAAAAAAAGAAUGCAAAAUUGGGAAGCUAAGAGCAUGGUGUGUAUUAAUUCACAUAAACUUUGGAUAUUAGCAUGGAAAUGUUAAUAACUAGAAAUGACCGAAUUCUCUGUGUUUGUCUGUUGUGGGAAUAAACCCCCCUGGGGAUGGAUCAAAAAUAUCUGGAAAUUACUUGAAACCGGCGGAUAACUAAAUGAGUAUUAUGACUAAAAUGUGCUAUAAUCCAUUUGUAUUCUUUUUGUCUCCUAAGGGUUGGUUCUGGCAAACUCUAUGCAGUGAGUACUGCAAAAAUUACAUAAGGCCUCAAAAGCUGUUCUGUGUAAACUUUGCGAGUGGGGGAUCUUUGACCAUAACAUUUGGUAGAUUAACUCUUAUAAUUCUAUGUAUGUAUUGACUCUAUGUUCUGACAUUUUGACCAGUUUGGGGAGAACUGAAUUGUCCCAACGUUGAACCCAGGGUUGUGCUGGCAAAUGCAUAACAAAUGGUUCUUUGGGUGGAAAGGCCUGAUUUACAGGGUUUGCCAGUUUCCGUGGCAGAAAUACUUCCACCAUGGCUGACUGCGAGCCACGAGCGGACGCCACUGAAUGCAGAAUCAGGCGAGGUGUAUGCUGCCCACCUUGUAAGUUGGCUUAGGCCACUGUAUGUACCCAUGGGCGUGUGUGCAACUGCAGUUUUGUUUUUUUUACUAAAAUUUCUGCCCCAUAGAUAUACAAGGGCACUAGUGAAAAAAAUAUAUAAAGGGAAAAUAAAAUAAAUUCAUGUUGGGAGCUCGAAUGGUGAUAAUUGACAGUGGAUUUCUUUUUAACGUUAAGAAGUGGUCUUUGUGUAUAUUCCGCACUUUAUUCUUAUCUUUUAUUACACGAACAAGGUAUCGACGUAUCAUUCCGAGUCUUCUGAACUCUUAGUUUCAGCGGGGUUCUCCUAGAACCUAGAAGCUAGGGUUUCUUCCCUUCCAGAUGUUGGUGUGAGGUCAAUACUGACCAAAGAGUCAAUGACAUCUGUUCAUUGUGAAGCCAGUCUCGGGAUGAUUGAGCUGAGGGCCAAGACAGAAGAAUAGAUAUGGAGCCUUCUGAAUUUGGGGCAGUCAACACAAUACAGACCCAUGGUUUGCAGAGGAUGCCAGCAGAUUGGAGAGAACCAGGGCUUCUGGCUAUUCCAGGGAUGACCUUUAAGAGUUCUUUGCCUUCUCUUUCCCAGUA